CCUACGGGGGGCUGCAGUCGAGAAUCUUCCGCAAUGGGCGCAAGCCUGACGGAGCGAUGCCGCGUGAGGGAUGAAGGCCUUCGGGUCGUAAACCUCUGUCGCCCGGGACGAAACAAAUGACGGUACCGGGAGAGGAAGCUACGGCUAACUACGUGCCAGCAGCCGCGGUAAUACGUAGGUAGCAAGCGUUAUUCGGAUUUACUGGGCGUAAAGGGUCCGCAGGGGGCCUGUCAAGUCUGAUGUGAAAUGCCACGGCUCAACCGUGGAACGGCAUUGGAAACUGACGGGCUAGAGUGCAUGAGGGGUGAGCAGAAUUCCUGGUGUAGCGGUGGAAUGCGUAGAUAUCAGGAGGAAUACCGAUGGCGAAGGCGGCUCACUGGCGUGCAACUGACCCUCAGGGACGAAAGCGUGGGUAGCAAACAGGAUUAGAUACCCCAGUAGUC
rnacentral:rRNA from 1 species